CGAAGGUAUAUGACGUACAUAACAAUUUACUUGAAGAAUGAAGUGUAUCAUGUAUCUAACAUGUUGACAAAGUGAAUGUUUCUAGCACGUCUACACAAAUCAUUUUUCUUGUGAAAAAGAUAUUUUCAGCAUGUGAGGCAAGAGCAAAGAUGGCCAGAAGACAUUGCUCGAAUUUCCCAACCUAUAUAUGCCGACGUGAUACAACAAGCAAAUGGUUAUGACUGUGGCAUAUUCGUGACAGAAUUUGCGAGAAGAAUAUCAGAGGGGGGAGAAGUUGGUCCUGGAUUACUUGCCGAUAUCCAUGUAAAUAGUAAAAGACCAUACCUUAAAAAACUGAUUCGAAGCUUUGCCAUUUAGCGAAGCAAUUUGUAAUGAAGCAGAAUUUAAGUUUAAAGCUGGUGCAUAUGAAUAACAUUCUCUUAUAUUUAUAACAAGUGAUGUAAAUAAUUUUUUUACAAGUAACGACGUUACAUGUAAUUGUUACUUUUGCAGAAACUAUAUGGGUAACUAUGAAGUAAUAUUUUGUACAGAUAAAACUAUUCAUAAAAACAAGUUUAAAUUUUUCGAAAAACGAAACUAUAACGCGUUACUAAUGAAUAACGCGACUAAGAGUGAGAAAAUAGUGUUUGUAGGCUAUUUCUCUCUCAGGAUUGUAUUUAACAAUGCGUAACAUAUUCCUGUGACAAAUAUGAAGUUUUGUAAAAAGAAAAAAGUUAUCGUAUUCCAUGUAAGAAACCAUGGAGGCUUAAUACACGAAUUGCACUGUUCA